CCACACUGGUGCCUCACACUUAAAGCGUUUAGCAGCAGAUUUGGAAUGAAAGCAGAAGCUGUAUUUUCUCCUUUGGAUAACUUUUCCGUAUUCACUUUAUUUUUCUGAAUUGGGAUCCUUGCAAGGACUAACACCUUAGUGUAUGUACAAUGGAUUUUUCCUAUGAGGUAACCGCUGUCCUUUGCUUCACCCACCAAGCAGCUGGGGCCAAGACAAUUUUUUGAAACAGAAGAGGAAGAAAUAUGGUGGAAAAACACAGUUGAACCCAUUGACAAGAUAAGCAGAAAGUGAAGUUGCUAAGCUAUCUGGAAGGAACUGGAACUGAAUAGACUGAAAAACGUGUCAUAGACUACAACUUCAUGAAUCUGCAGUGGAAAGCCCACAGGAGAGCACGAAGCAGUACUGCAGUGGUAUACAGGGCAUUAUGCACCCUUCUUCACCCUGGAACGACAUGGGAGGUGCAAGCAGCUAUUAAUGGCUAGUAAAUCAUUGACUGAGGGAUGAAUGGACACAGAAUCCAGGCAGUAGUUUGUAAAUGGUUCUUUUCAGGCACAUACAUAGGACAGUUAACAAGUCUGUGACAAAAUCUGUCUGGGAGUGCUGAACUUCUGCAAGCUUCUGCUCUGACAUAAUGAAAUCUCAUGGAGGAGAAGAAUGUAGCUGCUUUUGUUCCUGAUGGGUCUAGUGUUUAAGCUGAUGGAGGACUGGUAGGGUAAGGCAUCUUCUAGUAUGUAUUCGUCCCCAGGACUUCGUUCAGUGAUCAGUAUGGAACGAUACCACACUUUACAAAGACGGUGUAGUGUCCUUCAUGCUAAAAAAAUAUUUUUUGAAACACCCACCCUCCCAUAAUGGCAUUCUACUUCAUCAAAGUAUCUCAUAUUACUUAUUCACUUCUUUUGAAGUCAUUCUGCUAACUACAUCCGCCCUUCACCUCUGACUUUGGUUUAUAUCUAUCAUAUCACAGCACUAAAAUUCAGGAGAGAUUCCUCCUCAACCUGGUAGCCUUAAAUCUGAUUCAAGAUCAAUAGGUGCUCUUGAAUGAUUCUUGCUUAUGGAUGUCAGUGGGGUUAUUUAUUUAUUUAUUUAUUUGUGUGUGUGUGUGUGUGUGUGUGUGUGUGUGUGCUUGUCACUGAGUUCAUUUGUCUAUUGUACUUCUACAGUAUGUCAUGGGUUCAUUUCUGGUCUGUCAUUUAAACUUUUGACUAGGCCUGCAUCCAUCUAUUCUCUCUCCCCUCAGGCACAGAGAGAUGCACCUCAUCUAUUUUCAAGACUUUACAGAUGUUCCUUGGCCUCCGUUCUCAAAGAAUUCUAGAUUUGUGUUUCCAACAACCUGUGUGAUAUUUCUGUAAAAUUCUCUCUAUUAUCUUGAGCUUAAUAAAGCGAGACUGACUCGGUAUUAAAAUCCAUUUAAAGUAUCCCAACAUGUCCUUUCUUACACACCUACUAAGCUUCUCUUUAGAGAGAAAGCCGAUAUUGAAUAAACUUCAAUCCCCUUUAUGAGAAAGGUCACGACUAAAACUCCAAGCCAGAAGGACUCGUGAGGCAUCACAGGAAGAUGGACGAGAAUCUGUCGAGGCAGUCUCCACAGAAGUAGCAUGUUCCCGGACAAACAAUGCUACAAAAAGAAACACUGUCUGAAAAAAAUUAAAAGGAGGAGAAGGAAUGAAAGGAGAAAAAGUAAAGAAGAAAGGAACAGUAAAAUAAAAAGAAAAGAAAGAAAAAAAUAAAAAUAGAAAAAAUUA